GCUGCCCCCAGGGGUGCUGCAGGGUGGCCGCUGUGCCUCUAGGCGGCAGAGAAGAAAAGCGCAGACCACCCGGUGUUGUGACCCAUGGAACAGUCCGAAUGAUGUAGCGUCUCACGUU